rnacentral:rRNA from 1 species
AAGAUCCCUGAAAGAUGAUCAGGUAGAUAGGAUGGAAGUGGAAGUGCUGUGAGGCAUGGAGCGGACCAUUACUAAUCGAUCGAGGACUUAACCAA